rnacentral:misc_RNA from 1 species
GGUCUCCGUAGGUGAACCUGCGGAGGGAUCAUUACACAAUAAAAUACGAAGGCCGUUCGCGGCUGGACUAUUUAUUACCCUUGUCUUUUGCGCACUUGUUGUUUCCUGGGCGGGUUCGCUCGCCACCAGGACCACAAUAUAAACCUUUUUUAUGCAGUUGCAAUCAGCGUCAGUAUAACAAAUGUAAAUCAUUUACAACUUUCAACAACGGAUCUCUUGGUUCUGGCAUCGAUGAAGAACGCAGCGAAAUGCGAUACGUAGUGUGAAUUGCAGAAUUCAGUGAAUCAUCGAAUCUUUGAACGCACAUUGCGCCCUUUGGUAUUCCAAAGGGCAUGCCUGUUCGAGCGUCAUUUGUACCCUCAAGCUUUGCUUGGUGUUGGGCGUUUUUGUCUUUGGCCCGCCAAAGACUCGCCUUAAAAUGAUUGGCAGCCGGCCUACUGGUUUCGCAGCGCAGCACAUUUUUGCGCUUGCAAUCAGCAAAAGAGGACGGCAAUCCAUCAAGACUCCUUCUCACGUUUGACCUCGGAUCAGGUAGGGAUACCCGCUGAACUUAAGCAUAUCA